CGGACAGUGUCUGGUGGGUAGUUUGACUGGGGCGGUCUCCUCCUAAAGAGUAACGGAGGAGCACGAAGGUUGGCUAAUCCUGGUCGGACAUCAGGAGGUUAGUGCAAUGGCAUAAGCCAGCUUGACUGCGAGCGUGACGGCGCGAGCAGGUGCGAAAGCAGGUCAUAGUGAUCCGGUGGUUCUGAAUGGAAGGGCCAUCGCUCAACGGAUAAAAGGUACUCCGGGGAUAACAGGCUGAUACCGCCCAAGAGUUCAUAUCGACGGCGGUGUUUGGCACCUCGAUGUCGGCUCAUCACAUCCUGGGGCUGAAGUAGGUCCCAAGGGUAUGGCUGUUCGCCAUUUAAAGUGGUACGCGAGCUGGGUUUAGAACGUCGUGAGACAGUUCGGUCCCUAUCUGCCGUGGGCGCUGGAGAACUGAGGGGGGCUGCUCCUAGUACGAGAGGACCGGAGUGGACGCAUCACUGGUGUUCGGGUUGUCAUGCCAAUGGCACUGCCCGGUAGCUAAAUGCGGAAGAGAUAAGUGCUGAAAGCAUCUAAGCACGAAACUUGCCCCGAGAUGAGUUCUCCCUGACUCCUUGAGAGUCCUGAAGGAACGUUGAAGACGACGACGUUGAUAGGCCGGGUGUGUAAGCGCAGCGAUGCGUUGAGCUAACCGGUACUAAUGAACCGUGAGGCUUAACCUU
rnacentral:rRNA from 1 species